CUAGUAAAUUCAAGAAAAUUUUGUUCUCCUUCCUUUUCCAGCCGUGAGCUUCCAUAGCCAAAGACUAGUUAAAUCUAGCAAUCCAAACGAUUCGGAAGGAAAUGACAAAGCUCGUGAUUAGGAUUAUUAUAUACAAGUUCUGUAGUGAGGCAAAGGGUCUGAUUGAGAUACGAACGAUUUAUGAGGAGCCUUCCAAGCAUCAUGUGCAAAUCAUCUAUAAUACCAGUAAUCAGUAAGACAUCAUUGAAUUUUCUUUUGACUAGUAGUGACAUGUAUAAUUAUGUCAGU